rnacentral:misc_RNA from 1 species
AUGGCCUCGGUCGCCGCUUGGCUGCCGUUCGCCCGGGCGGCGGCCAUCGGUUGGGUGCCGAUCGCCACGCACCCACUGCCGCCGCCGCCGGUGCCCAAGGACCGGCGAAGAAUUGACGACGAGAAGCUACUGAUCAACGUCUCGGGGCGCCGGUUCGAGACAUGGCGGAACACGGUGGAGAAGUACCCGGACACGUUGCUCGGGUCCAACGAACGCGAGUUCUUCUACGACGAGGACUGCAAAGAGUAUUUCUUCGACCGGGACCCGGACAUAUUCCGGCACAUACUCAACUACUACCGCACCGGCAAGCUGCAUUACCCGAAGCACGAGUGUCUGACCAGCUACGACGAGGAGCUGGCGUUCUUCGGCAUACUGCCGGACGUCAUCGGCGACUGUUGUUACGAGGACUACCGGGACCGGAAGCGCGAGAACGCCGAGCGGCUGAUGGACGACAAGCUGUCGGAGAACGGCGACCAGAACCUGCCGCAGCUCACCAACAUCCGGCAGAAGAUGUGGCGGGCGUUCGGCAACCCGCACACGUCCACCGCGGCGCUCGUAUUCUACUACGUUACCGGUUUUUUCAUCGCCGUGUCCGUCAUGGCCAACGUGGUGGAGACGGUGCCAUGCGGCCACCGGCCCGGCCGCGUCGGCACGCUGCCGUGCGGCGAACGCUACAAGAUCGUGUUCUUCUGCCUGGACACGGCGUGCGUGAUGAUCUUCACCACCGAGUAUCUGUUGCGGUUGUUCGCCGCCCCGGACCGGUGCAAGUUCAUGCGCAGCGUCAUGAGCAUCAUCGACGUGGUGGCCAUCCUGCCGUACUACAUCGGCCUGGGCAUCACCGACAACGACGACGUGUCCGGCGCGUUCGUCACACUCCGCGUGUUCAGGGUGUUCCGGAUAUUCAAGUUCUCCCGGCACUCGCAGGGACUGCGCAUACUCGGCUACACGCUCAAGUCGUGCGCUUCCGAACUCGGAUUCUUGGUGUUCUCCCUGGCCAUGGCCAUUAUCAUAUUUGCCACGGUAAUGUUUUACGCCGAGAAGAACGUGGACGGUACGAACUUCACGUCUAUACCGGCCGCCUUCUGGUAUACCAUCGUCACCAUGACCACGUUGGGGUAUGGUGACAUGGUACCAGAAACAAUAGCCGGAAAAAUUGUUGGUGGAGUGUGUUCACUCAGUGGAGUGCUUGUUAUCGCACUACCUGUACCAGUAAUCGUGUCUAAUUUCAGUCGAAUCUACCAUCAAAAUCAGCGAGCAGAUAAAAGAAAAGCUCAAAGAAAAGCACGGCUAGCUAGGAUAAGGAUAGCAAAGGCCUCUUCGGGUGCCGCAUUUGUAAGCAAAAAAAAAGCGGCUGAAGCCAGGAUGGCGGCUCAAGAAUCCGGGCUAGAGCUUGAUGAAAAUUACAGAGAAGAAGACAUAUUUGAACUGCAGCAUCAUCAUUUACUUCGAUGUUUGGAAAAAACGACUAGAGUUUGUGGAGCUCGAAGUGCCAUAUAACGGUCAAUCAAAAAGGCCAUGCUCACCGUCUCCCCUACUGAGCCCUAGCCAUUCGGCAUUAAGCAGGGUGAACUUCUUAAGCUCAUGCUGUACAAGAUGCUGUAAUCAACGGUAUCAGAAGCACAAGCGAGAGAGCUCGCCGGACUCGAUAGGCGAGCCCAUCAACGAGGAGGAGCUGAUCGAGGUGCAGAUGAAGCAGCGUCACACGUCCGCGGCGGCGGCGCCCGGCGGCGGCAAGUCGAGCAACUCG